rnacentral:rRNA from 1 species
CCUACGGGAGGCAGCAGUGGGGAAUUUUGCGCAAUGGGGGCAACCCUGACGCAGCAACGCCGCGUGCGGGACGAAGGCGUCCGCGUCGUAAACCGCUUUCAGCGGGGAACACCUAACGAGGGUACCCGCAGAAGAAGCCCCGGCUAAAUACGUGCCAGCAGCCGCGGUAAUACGUAUGGGGCGAGCGUUAUCCGGAUUCAUUGGGCGUAAAGCGCGCGUAGGCGGAGCGCUAAGCGGGACCUCUAACCCGAGGGCUCAACCCCCGGCCGGGUCCCGAACUGGCGCUCUCGAGUGCGGUAGGGGAGAGCGGAAUUCCCGGUGUAGCGGUGGAAUGCGCAGAUAUCGGGAAGAACACCGACGGCGAAGGCAGCUCUCUGGGCCGAAACUGACGCUGAGGCGCGAAAGCUGGGGGAGCGAACAGGAUUAGAUACCCUGGUAGUCC